rnacentral:pre_miRNA from 1 species
AAAAAGACAAACCUUGUUUUCAUGUCCAACAUUUGACCGUCCGUCUUAUUUAAAAAAAUUAUGAAAAAAAUUAAAAAAACAAGUCACGCAUAAAAUAUUAAUCAUGUUUUAUCAUCUAAUAACAAUAAAAAUACAAAUUACAAAAAAAAUCAUAUAAAACAGACAGUCAAAGUUGGAUACUUUUUUUUUCAGAGGGAGUACGUAGA